CCGGCUCUCACCCGGUGGGGAAUAUAUCUCGCUGGGGCCUCCAAAUGUUAUACCCGAGCGAGUUAGAAAAACGCCACACUUUGAGAUGAAUUAAGAGUCCUUUAUUUA
rnacentral:pre_miRNA from 1 species